GAUGAACGCUAGCGGCAGGCCUCAUACAUGCAAGUCGAGGGGCAGCAGAACAUUUCGGUGUUGCUGGCGACCGGCGAACGGGUGCGUAACGCGUAUGCAAUCUACCUUGUACUGGGGCAUAGCUCUCGGAAACGAGAAUUAAUACCCCAUAUAAUCUUGACAGCACAUGCUGAUAAGAGGAAAGCUCCGGCGGUACAAGAUGGGCAUGCGUCCCAUUAGCUAGUUGGUAAGGUAACGGCUUACCAAGGCAACGAUGGGUAGGGGUUCUGAGAGGAAGAUCCCCCACACUGGCACUGAGAUACGGGCCAGACUCCUACGGGUGCAG
rnacentral:rRNA from 1 species